GCUGGGAGUUUGGCGAAGGUUGCUGGCACGAGUGUAUUUGGUUUUGAGGCUGUUUAGAGUCUGCGGUUUUUAGCGAAAGGGUUGUUGGGAAUUAUUAGUGCGUCAACCAUAUUUUGGAUUUUAUAGUAGAUAUAGGAAUGUCGAAAUCGUUAUUCCUUUCUUUCAUUAAUUUUUUAUUCGUUUCCUUUGGUGACUAUUUUUGUACAGAGGCUCGAGAAAGAGUAAUUAACUAGGUAGGAUUUGAUAUAUAAAUGUGACCAUGAAAUAUAAUUGUUUCAAUAAGUACAAGAUAGUAGCUUUCUCUAAUUUAUAAAAUCUUCUUCUUGCAUUUCUAAUUUUCGUAACAGACUUCCACGUAGUAUCUAUUAUUCCGAUACAUUUUUUCAUCUCGAUAAGCUAUUUUAUUUGCAUCUUCUAAUAACGUGGUAUUCGUGCAAUUUCUCUUUCUAUAGAUUAAAAACAUCUUAUCUUCGUACGUAGCGCGUCACUUGCUUAAAAUUACAUUUACAACCAACCUAAGCGAGAUUGAUUCGUCUCUCUUAAUUUUUCAUUUCAUAAUUAUAGAAAUCUUUAUUUGCGACGACCCCGUUAGAAAUUCUUCGAUUUCUUCAAAUAAUUUUCUAAUUUUAAAUCAUCAGCCUGAAAUACACGAAGAAAACAUUUAUAUACAUUUAUAUAUAUACAUAGCGUCAACAUAGUGUGGUCGAUCGAAGGGUCGAUGACGUGAUGAGACUUUCGAACAGACCCAGACCGAAACGCGCGCGCCAGGAGGGUGGCGGCCCGAUAGUAAACGAGUUAUUGGAAAAUCGUGUGAGGGGUGCGCCGAGGGAGAGGAGGUCAGCAAUUUUUCGCCUCAUUGGCUGUAAAAAGGAGACGCUUUAUCGUUCGCAACGGCGGCAGUGGCGACGUAACCGAACGACGAGGUUCGAACGGGAAGUUCGAAGGUGGGCCGGGGGCAUUAACACCGGCUCGUUGUAGAUGUUGAUCAGGCGGCGCAUUUUUACCGAGGCCAAUUUGCCGGGGAUGAAGCUCGCGUGACGUUCUCCCGCUGCUCCAUCCACGUAACCGCAGAUAAAAUAUCACCUGCCCCGCCGAAAGCUAUGGAAAUUACGCUGGAAUUUCGUUGGCAGCGCGCUCGCGUUCCAGUACGGUGUGUGGAUCGUGGAGAACGAGCGAUAUGUCCUCCGAGGCGAAACGUAAUUUCGAGAGGCGAACGUCUCUCCAACUUCUUGACGCGAGCUUCAUGACCCUGUUUUCCACGAAUUUCAACCGUUUAACCCUUCAGCGGUGAACGAUGUAGCCAUGUAACAACAAGUAUGACUUCUUCGCGUAUCGCUGUCUGAUGUAAGCACAUCCCUUAUCGAAAGUUUUAGCGGAUGCUGACAAAGUUUUCAAGAAAGUUGUAGAUACUUCGGAUACAACAUGAAUUUUGAACUGUAUUCAGCUUUCAGGAAAAUUGAUAGUGUAUUUCAGAAACGUGUGUCUAUUUCUUUCUUGUAGAAGAUAACUCCACUCUCUAUAGAGAAGAAAUAGAAAGUGCUUAUCAGACGAAAUAAUAUUUCUUCGUAUCUUUUACACACUGGACUUUGAGCAAUUCUCCUAACAUUUGUAUACACUAUAUAGAAAGAAAAUAGCAAGUAUCUAAUGAAAUAAUAUUUUUUGACGCUUUUCAAGGACCAGAGUUUGAACAGAUAACAGAUAACGUUCAUAGAUGUGUACGUACAAGGUUUAAUUUAACAUUUAAUCGAGACCGAUUAUAGCUUUUCUCUAGUUGUAAGUAGGAGAAGUAUCGGAGGAGAAGCGAAUUUUACUAAUGCCAAUAAAAUGCAAGUGCAAUUUGGUAUUGUCCAUAUAAAUAUGUUUGCAACAUUCAAAGUAUGCACAUAGGUAACACUCGAGAAGUACAAGGAAGCAAAAGUUUUAUUUCAAAGAACAUGAAAUAAAUAUUCCGAGUUUACCUAUAAAUAAUUCAGCACACGUUACAACGCUAUGUUUCCAUAAGAUUUAUCAUUUAGAAAUGGAUAACGCUUAACCACCCCAUCGCCAAUUGAUUCCAACUUAAUCAACCUAAAAUUAAGACAACAUACAAAAAUUCUACGUUAAUCGUACAAGACUCUUUAACGAUUUUCCUGCUAUUAAACGACUCGAGCAACAAGCAAACAAUCAGCCACAGAUCCAUUAAAAUUCCGCAACGCCGGAGAACCACGAUGCACAAUAAGCUCUCCACUUCUCUCGAUUAGAAUCUGUCGGAUCGUUGACUCUUCUCACGGGCCAACUCGUGCCAUAAAUAAUGUAAACGGCGUGAAAAAAAAUCAAACGCCUCUUCUUUACUCGCUUUACACAUCCUACGGUGUCCCAAGUUUAAUUAAUCGGCCACGUUUCCAUAUACAAACUUCAAACAACGAUUUAAACGUCAAGCUCGACGCUGGAAUAUCGUGGAAAAGCGACGUUGAAAAGGGCGUAUCGACGCCAUUGACUUCGGUACGAAAAGAAGAAGCUGCAAAAGACGAGGAGAUGACUCGAUAAAGGCAGCGCACGAUGAAUCGAGUUCAAAGAGCUCGAAGAUUCCGAGAGUGCGGCAUAUUCGCGGGUAUAAAACAGCGAAACGCUUAGCAUAGUAACAUCGCGGGAACGGGGGCGUCAUUACCGUAUUGAUCGCGGGGGUGGUUCCACUCACCCCUUCGCUCUACCGGUUCCCUCUUCCUCUUUUCCGCCCUCUAUCUCUGUCCGUCUCUCUUUCCCAUCCCCUUAUGAUACUCUGUUGUCGAGGAUCAGCAGGGUAAGGGCCAGACCAGAAGAGAUUCACAGGCGAAGAGAGGGUUGAAAGUAGGACAACGAACUUGCCGGCAUAACGAGUCUCGGAUCAAAGGACCAGUCUGCACGUGGAACGAUCCGAUAAUUUGGAAUCGCGCGCCAUCAUGCCGCUAUCGAUCGCCUUCGUGAUGAUUGUGGACGAAACAUGCGCCCUCCAUGAUGACGCGCCCACCCUGCUGUACGCAUGGGAUGAUUUUCGAAUUAUCCUUGGAAUUACUCGGUCUGCGUGGUAGCCGAGAAUGGACGAUGACGAAAUGCACCCGGUUCUGAUUCAGUCAGGUGAUAUUGACCUCCAUGACGUCAAACGAAGUUCGAGGAUACUUAUUUUCUUUUCUUGCCGUAACCCACUCCUUUACAUCCUCGCCGAUGGAUCCAGGACCCGUUGCAAGACCGGUUUGGUAAGAAUCAACUGAUCACGAAGGCAAGAAACAACUGAAUCACUGUGGCUUCGACCCUUCAACUCAAGGAUCAAGAGCAACUUUCUCGAAGCAGCGUGGCAAUGCAAAAUUCCUGGUAUCUCUCGGAAAACUAACUCAUCGGAGCGUACAGCGGCGAGGAAGCACGGUUGAAAUGAUAUUUCUCGUUGCGCCUCUCCUACGGGAUCCUCGUGGCGAAACAUGGCGUCUUCGCGUACAGACGAACGGCCACCAUAAAGAUUCAAAACGAAGGACGAGCGUGGCAUUUAUGUGGUCUAAGAGUUUCGAUUGACGUUUAAAAUCUCGUUGAUUCUGUAAAUUAACAACGCGUCAGCAAUUAUAAAUACGCAACAAAAUUUUAUCAAAAGUAAUUGAAAUUGUAGUAAAAGAACAGACCACGGUACUGUAUAGAUAUAUGCGCAGAGUUUAUGGUUAUAAAUUACUAUUGAUGCGCUACCGAUGGAAAUGAAAUUUCAUGAAAGGCCAAAGAAAAUGUAAAAUAUGCAGCAGCGUUGUAUUGUUUAAUGAAAUUAAACCGAGAAGAUAUAUCUAUCUACCAUUACAUUAUAAAAUACAUAUUCAUCAAAUUCUUCGCUAAAAUGGACAUGUGCGUUUCUUUUUAAUAAAUUUACUGUCGAAUAACUAUGUAAAAUAUGUUUAUGCUACGUUAGCAACAACAAUAAUUUUACAAUAUGGACGUGAGAUAUUUGUAUUUUUUGGAAAAUUCGUUGAAUGUGUAUUGAAUGAAUUAAAACAUGCAUUUUAACAAUAUCUGCAAUUAAAAUUUUUUUCAAUACGAAUACGAAGCACCAUCGAGGAAUAAUUAAUACGGACGCUUUCAGGAAAUAAUUAAUAUUGACAUUGCUAAAAACCAUAUUUUAGAGGAAAAGUAUCAGACGAAAACACGGAAGCUUUAUUUUCUCCGUCAAUUAAAAUGUUACACAAAAGAGCUGUCGCAUUCAAAUAAUAAAAAGCUAUUCGUUCCAAAUUGAUUUCGUACACAUAUCUAUACACUUUUCAUCUGGAUAUUCACGACGAAUUCUAGAGAAUACUUUAAUUAUUCGUCCAAUUGGAAGAACAUUUUCAUAUGUAUGAAAAUAUAUUCGCUCGCUAAAUGAAUAUAUUUUCAUCUUCUUGUCACCAAAAAUAUAUCAAACAGACCACAAACGACCAAUAUUGAAAUUAUUACGUAUCGUAUCUCGAUGGCAAAUAAGUAUUGAUUUCAUACGUAUGAACUUUGCUGCCUGUAUCCAAUCACAUUAAAAACAUUUUCCAUUAAAUAACAGCAGCAAUAAAUUUCGAAAAUUGGUAGAACAUUCGGUUAAAACGUUAAAUUUCAUUAUUGGAAUAAAAAUAUACGAUUAUAUAUGUGUGUGUGUAUAUAUAUAUAUAUAUAUAUCUGGUAUACUGAAUAUUAAAUUUUUUAACAUUAAUUUCAAAAAGUACGUUCUGUAUUAACCUAAAUAUCUCGAAAUAUCUUUUUACGAUAUUCACCAAAUAAUUUAACACCCUGUAUCGUAUUUAGAUUAUAUGUAUUAAUUCAAUCUUCUUAUUACACGUCUCUGUUCAUUUAUUAUUUCAAUUGUCUACUUAGAAAAUAGUGUUAAAUAUGAGAAACGUUGUUAAAAAUCGCGAAAGAGACACAAAAAUAACCUUACAAUCCCUAUGAUAACAAAUGUGUCUGAAUUAACGUCAAACCUUCUUUAUAUUCAACAGAGAGUACAAGACCUUUUGAAAAACAGGAAUGCAGAUGAAGAAUAUGUAUAUCCAAAGUCUGAUCCUUUCUUUUAAAAGAUGUAUACUAAAUUAAUGUCAAAAAUUUCCAUUGGAUCGACGUUCGUAAGAGAUGGUUGUUGUGCAAGAACGAAGCAGUUUCGCGAUUUACUUCUAUGGAGAAUGUAGCAACAAAUCGCACGGCGGGAUCAAAUUGCAAACUUACGCCUACGCGCGCAUUUUGCGGCACGCUUUGCCGUCACAUGUGUAAAAGGUUGAAAGCUCGUUCGCUCGAGUUGACACGUACGAGCAUACGUAGGCAGCGGUUCAAGAUUGAAAACUAUAGCUCGAUAUACAGGCCAAAAGGCACGGGGAAUAAAGCGAAAUUCGCACUUUUCGAGCGGCCUAACUCCGUUACGACGUGCGUGGGUUGCGUCACGAUGGAUUACGAAGACCGCGAGAUUGCAUUCAAUGAUCCGUAUUGUGCAUUAUAAUGUAGAAUCUUGAUGCGAACAAAUGGAGCGGUAUAACUACAUUUCUGAGAAAAAUCCACGCAAAAUUAGGUUACGUUUCUUAGGUCAAAUUGUGUAUAAAUUUAGAAGAUUAGGAGAGGAUUUAUUUGUGAUAAAAUCCUGAUGUAAUAAUUCAUUUUCUAUGAUUAAGAGAAUCGCGAUAUCGUGAGAAAUUAAUGGCUUCGUUUAUUAGCUAAUGCCAAGAGUAAAUAAUCCUUAUAGAAACUAAGUAAUCAUAAAAAUAUAAUAAAACAUUGCGAAAAUUGACAAAUUAUAUUGUAGAAAAUUCCAACGAAUCAGUUUGCUCCCCAUUUAUUAUUAGAUAUAUUCUAUGCACUGUUACGAUGAAGUAACAUCGCUUUAUACGCUUGUGUUUUAAAGAUCUUUGGAUAUUGAUCAUUUGACACUUAUUUUCGAACAUGUACACACGAAACAUUCAACGAAAAUUGAAUCACGCGUUA